AGCAGCCGCGGUAAUUCCAGCUCCAAUAGCGUAUAUUAAAGUUGUUGCAGUUAAAAAGCUCGUAGUUGAAUUUCGGGGUCAAUAAGUUGGUCGUGCCAAUGGUAUGUACUGGCUUUAUUGAUUCCUACCUCUUGACGAACUGUGAUGCCAUUAAUUUGGUGUUGCAGGAAAUCAGGACUGUUACCUUGAAAAAAUUAGAGUGUUUAAAGCAGGCUUACGCUUGAAUACAUUAGCAUGGAAUAAUGAAAUAGGACGUUUGAACCUAUUUUGUUGGUUUCUAGGAUCGACGUAAUGAUUAAUAGGGAUAGUUGGGGGCAUUAGUAUUCAAUUGUCAGAGGUGAAAUUCUUGGAUUUAUUGAAGCUAACUACUGCGAAAGCAUUUGCCAAGGAUGUUUUCAUUAAUCAAGAACGAAAGUUAGGGGAUCGAAGACGAUCAGAUACCGUCGUAGUCUUAACCAUAAACCUAUGCCGACUAGGGAUCGGAUGAUGUUAAUUUUUAAUGUACUCAUUCGGCUCCUUA
rnacentral:rRNA from 1 species